GCUGUUUGAAAAUCACCCGUGGCCUUGCCCGUGCCCAUGGGCGGGAUUCGGCGCCCAGAGCCAGUGGGGCUUCAGCUCACUGCCCACUGUCCGGUGUGGGGAGGUGAAACCCAGGCCCCGACAGCA